rnacentral:rRNA from 1 species
AGUGAACGCUGGCGGCAGGCCUUACACAUGCAAGUCGAACGGCAGCACGGGUGCUUGCACCUGGUGGCGAGUGGCGAACGGGUGAGUAAUGCCUGGGAAAUUGCCCAGUCGAGGGGGAUAACAGUUGGAAACGACUGCUAAUACCGCAUACGCCCUACGGGGAAAGCAGGGGACCUUCGGGCCUUGCGCGAUUGGAUAUGCCCAGGUGGGAUUAGCUAGUUGGUGAGGUAAUGGCUCACCAAGGCGACGAUCCCUAGCUGGUCUGAGAGGAUGAUCAGCCACACUGGAACUGAGACACGGUCCAGACUCCUACGGGAGGCAGCAGUGGGGAAUAUUGCACAAUGGGGGAAACCCUGAUGCAGCCAUGCCGCGUGUGUGAAGAAGGCCUCGGUUGUAAAGCACUUUCUAGCGAGGAGGAAAGGUACAGUAGCUAAUAUCUGCUGGCUGUGACGUUACUCGCAGAAGAAGCACCGGCUAA